rnacentral:rRNA from 1 species
AUUGAACGCUGGCGGCAUGCCUUACACAUGCAAGUCGAACGGCAGCACGGGAGCAAUCCUGGUGGCGAGUGGCGAACGGGUGAGUAAUAUAUCGGACGUGCCCAGUCGUGGGGAUAACGUAGCGAAAGCUACGCUAAUACCGCAUACGAUCUAUGGAUGAAAGCGGGGGAUCGCAAGACCUCGCGCGAUUGGAGCGGCCGAUAUCAGAUUAGGUAGUUGGUGAGGUAAAGGCUCACCAAGCCGACGAUCUGUAGCUGGUCUGAGAGGACGACCAGCCACACUGGGACUGAGACACGGCCCAGACUCCUACGGGAGGCAGCAGUGGGGAAUUUUGGACAAUGGGCGCAAGCCUGAUCCAGCAAUGCCGCGUGCAGGAUGAAGGCCUUC